rnacentral:lncRNA from 1 species
GCGGUAUGUACUGUACCUGUGAAGAGCUUGUGGAAGAACUCCUAAAAAAAGGUCACGGUUAGCUCAAAGUUACAACUUACAUCAUUUUGAAUUCCAGGGCAUAGCUGGCGACCCAGGAGAGCACGGCGGCAAAGGUCAGAAAGGCGAAGCGGCGACUCCCGGAGCUCCAGGCCUACGAGGUCCUGAGGGACAACGGGGACCUGCAGGCACAAGAGGUGAUGCAGGGGAAAGAGGAGCGCCGGGAGAGAAGGGAGAAAGAGGAACAUCCGGGUUAGAUGGACGUCCUGGUCUAGAUGGUAAACCAGGUGCUGCUGGACCACCUGGUCAGAGGGUA